UAGGGAAUCGUCCGCAAUGGACGAAAGUCUGACGGAGCAACGCCGCGUGAGUGAAGAAGGAUUUCGGGUCGUAAAACUCGGUUGUUAGGGAAGAAAAAAUGUAUAGUAACUAUAUACAAAAGAGACGGUACCUAACCAGAAAGCCACGGCUAACUACGUGCCAGCAGCCGCGGUAAUACGUAGGUGGCAAGCGUUGUCCGGAAUCAUUGGGCGUAAAGCGCGCGCAGGUGGUUUAGAAAGUCUGAUGUGAAAGCUCACGGCUCAGCCGUGGAGGGUCAUUGGAGACUGAUAAACUUGAGUGUGGGUAAGAACAGUGGAAUUCCUAGUGUAGCGGUGAAAUGGGUAUAGAUUAGGAAGCACACCGGGGGCGAAAGCGACUUUUUGGCCUGAACCUGACACUGAAGCGCGAAAGCGUGGGGUGCAAACAGG
rnacentral:rRNA from 1 species